AUUGAACGCUGGCGGCAUGCCUUACACAUGCAAGUCGAACGGCAGCACGGGUGCUUGCACCUGGUGGCGAGUGGCGAACGGGUGAGUAAUACAUCGGAACAUGUCCUGUAGUGGGGGAUAGCCCGGCGAAAGCCGGAUUAAUACCGCAUACGAUCUACGGAUGAAAGCGGGGGACCUUCGGGCCUCGCGCUAUAGGGUUGGCCGAUGGCUGAUUAGCUAGUUGGUGGGGUAAAGGCCUACCAAGGCGACGAUCAGUAGCUGGUCUGAGAGGACGACCAGCCACACUGGGACUGGGCCACGGCCCAGACUCCUACGGGAGGCAGCAGUGGGGAAUUUUGGACAAUGGGCGAAAGCCUGAUCCAGCAAUGCCGCGUGUGUGAAGAAGGCCUUCGGGUUGUAAAGCACUUUUGUCCGGAAAGAAAUCCUUGGCCCUAAUACGGUCGGGGGAUGACGGUACCGGAAGAAUAAGCACCGGCUAACUACGUG
rnacentral:rRNA from 1 species